rnacentral:lncRNA from 1 species
GGGGAGCGUUUCCGAUGCGGGAAGGUGUGCACGAGCAGAGCRGCGGCCUCCUUCCUGCCAGCUCGCGUGUGGUUUGGCGUGGGGGAAUUAACAGGAAUCAUAAACGUGCUUGCCGUUUCCUGUUUGCCAUCAGCUUUGGGUCAAAGUGUUAAACUCUGUGUCUCUCCCCACGGAGCGGGUGCUCGCAGUAGCUGUGCAGAGCUGCACGGUAUUUGUAUCGCCUCGCGUAGGAGGUAGCAGCAAAGCGUCUGUAAAUAAUCUAAUCAAUGAAAGUCAUGAAAUUGGGCUGAUGUGGAGAGGGGAAAACGAGACCAUUUUGCAUUCAGAGACCCAAGGAAUGGUCCUAAUGUAUACACAGCAAAUCACUGGUCAUUCCUGAGGGCAAGCCAGAGGACUCUGGUGCAUAUCACUGCUCCAUAUGGGCCAGAGUUGGAUAUGUCAAUCAGCAGGCAGAGAUCCUCCUUGAAGUAUCAGAGUGUUCCACUGUGCAUCCAGUCAUUUCAACUCAGCAAACCCUUCUGCUGGAUUCAGAGCAAGGAAGCAGUAUGAACUCUGAUUCCACCUGUUGCAAAGGGGAAGCGAUUCCUGUGCCUGUUGUUCUCCUGGGUCUAUUGGCAUUCAGCCUGGUGAAAGGGUUCCUCAGCAUUGUUCUUAGUCUGGUGAAUCUCUGUCUUGGGCUCAAAUUGCCUUGUUUUUGCCGUGGGCAAAACAGUCCAUUGCAGUUCCUUUGGUGAGGCAAUGGGCAGUGCAGGAGGUUAGGG